rnacentral:misc_RNA from 1 species
ACUUGAGCAAAAUCUGGCAUAACUCUCAUUGGCUUGCCCUGAUCUCCUCGAUCAAUUAUUUCACUAGUUUGCCAAGUCCUUGGGGUACUCUCAUUGCUGCUGCUAUAACAGCAAUUAUGUGCAAUUGUUGGCCCAGCCAAUCCAGCAUCAUCUUUAGUCACCUGAGACACAUUGACUGGUGCCAAAGAGUUAAAACCCCGGGUUGUUAAACUUCCACCAGUCAUUGGAUUUCCAAGAACUGAUGACGAAUCUGGUCUGUAAACAUAUCCACGCUCUAAUGAAGCUGAUGAAGAUUGAAAUGGACCAGUCACCUGGGAGACAACUGGAGCAUUUUUAGCUGCCUUUUGCGGGUAUGGAUGAGCUGCUUUUCUCUUUGGCCGAGGUGGAGGAACAUGUUCGCUUGUCCCACUCUUUUGAACCUUCAGAAAGUACUUCUGCGCAUGGCUACGUAUCUGGAUGACCGUCUUUGACCCAACAAAAGCUUCAAUCUUUUUCCAGUCACGAUCAAAUAGUUGAAGAGCUUCUAGAAACUUGUCGUGCUCUUGUUCCGUCCAGCUUUCUCUAGACUUAGUGAUAGUAUACGGUUUCCGGAUCUUCUUACUCGGAUCGUCCGCAAAUGCUACAGUAUUAGCAGCCGCACUCGUCGUGGAAGCCGAAGUGUUAACCGCCGUUGUAUUAGUAGCAAUAGUGGUGUCAGUAGUAGUAGUAUUGGUAGAAGUCAUCGGCGGCCGUAGAGAAUUCAGACCAGUAAGUCCCAUACCCAUGGGAUCGAAGAAGUAAAACCCCUGAGCUGGGUUGGGGUUCACCGACACCAUAAGCUAUAAAGCAAGAAGACGAAAGUGCUUCCCAAAACGAUUUCGUUUGGAGUUCCGUACCGGUAAACCUUUGCAGUGGUCAGCUCGUUCUCUUGGGUUUCGUUUGGUUUACUGUCCUCUGG